rnacentral:rRNA from 1 species
GAGUUUGAUCGUGGCUCAGAGCGAACGCUGGCGGCAGGCCUAACACAUGCAAGUCGAACGAACUCUUCGGAGUUAGUGGCGGACGGGUGAGUAACACGUGGGAACGUGCCUUUUGGUCGGAAUAACUCAGGGAAACUUGUGCUAAUACCGAAUGUGCCCUUCGGGGAAAGAUUUAUCGCCAUUAGAGCGGCCCGCGUCUGAUUAGCUAGUUGGUGAGGUAAAGGCUCACCAAGGCGACGAUCAGUAGCUGGUCUGAGAGGAUGAUCAGCCACAUUGGGACUGAGACACGGCCCAAACUCCUACGGGAGGCAGCAGUGGGGAAUCUUGCGCAAUGGGCGAAAGCCUGACGCAGCCAUGCCGCGUGAAUGAUGAAGGUCUUAGGAUUGUAAAAUUCUUUCACCGGGGACGAUAAUGACGGUACCCGGAGAAGAAGCCCCGGCGUAACUUCGUGCCAGCAGCCGCAGUAAG